UACGUAGGGUGCGAGCGUUGUCCGGAAUUAUUGGGCGUAAAGAGCUCGUAGGCGGUGUGUCACGUCGGCCGUGAAAACCUGCAGCUUAACUGUGGGCGUGCGGUCGAUACGGGCAUCACUGGAGUUCGGCAGGGGAGACUGGAAUUCCUGGUGUAGCGGUGAAAUGCGCAGAUAUCAGGAGGAACACCGGUGGCGAAGGCAGGUCUCUGGGCCGCAACUGACGCUGAGGAGCGAAAGCAUGGGGAGCGAACAGG
rnacentral:rRNA from 1 species